CUGGGGGCUCCUCCAGACGUCGGGGGGGUCCGGGCGCGGGUCAGGCGGAAGUGUGGCCAGAGUUCCGCCUGGGGCGGACCGGCCGCCGCCGACUGUGGGCGGGAGGCGUCACCGGGUUGCAGGGAUGAAUGGGGCGGGGAUCGGGCCGGCUAGCGGCGGCGCGCCCCCGGCUGAGCGGGGCUGCCGCUGGAAGCCCCAGCUGCCCGCUCGCUCCCGGCCCGCGGGCGUGGUGGCCGAGCAGCCGGUCCUCGGCUGGAACCUGCAGGGCUCCCGGGAACUGGUCCCGAGGCGUGGCGGAUAGGCUCCUUUCCGGCACACACCUGCGGGCAGAGCGUCCCCCGUGGGAACCGAGACUUCCCCUGGAGCGCAGGGGCCGCCCUGAGCCUGGUGCCCGACCCCAAGACCGUGGUGACCUGACCUUCACUGCCCACCUGCUCGGACCCACGACCUGUGUCCCACACUUUCUUUAUAUGAACCUGGACGUGCUUUGAGCACUUUGGAGACGGUCUUUGAGACCCUAGUCUGCGGUCUCCGGGUGGUGGUCUCACCGAAAUAAAAUUCCUUUCCUGUUUCCCCAC